CCUACGGGAGGCAGCAGUGGGGAAUAUUGGGCAAUGGGCGCAAGCCUGACCCAGCAACGCCGCGUGAAGGAAGAAGGCUUUCGGGUUGUAAACUUCUUUUCUCAGGGACGAAGCAAGUGACGGUACCUGAGGAAUAAGCCACGGCUAACUACGUGCCAGCAGCCGCGGUAUGACGUAGGGUGCAAGCGUUAUCCGGAUUUCCUGGGUUUAAAGGGUGUGUGGGCGAGAAGGCAGGUCAGAUGUGAAAGCCAUGGGCUCAACCUGUGGCGUGCAUUUGAAAUUGGUUUUCUUGAGUACUGGAGAGGCAGACGGAAUUCGUAGUGUAGCGGUGAAAUGCGUAGAUAUGAGGAGGAACACCAGUGGCGAAGGCGGUCUGCUGGACAGCAACUGACGCUGAGGCGCGAAAGCGUGGGGAGCAAACAGGAUUAGAUACCCUGGUAGUC
rnacentral:rRNA from 1 species